UACAAUCAAUUAAGCACCGUAGCACAGCCUUGGUAGCUGCAGCGCCACCGCUAGCGAAUGCCACUUGAUUCUCCAUAGCCUCUAACAGGGGUUAAACUCUGCCUUCACCCCUUAACCCGCCAGCCUAAGCCAGUAGGGGGAAGACAUAUUGCUGGCCUAAUUACAAACGUACACGUCUUAAAAAAAAAAAAAAAAGUAAAAAAAUCCAAUUAUGUUUGCAUUUCUAAUCACGGCGCAUAAUUACGCUAAAUAAAUAAAUCAAGGUCGUGCCUCGCCACAGCAACGGGAUCACCAUGGUAAUAUUGCUUUAUUAAUCACAGUGAUGACAUCAACGGCAGGCAGGUGGAGUAGUUUACACUUUUCUCUCAAAACAAUCGAAAGCACCCAGCAAAUACCGGUACCAUCACAGUAAGGUAAUGAAGACAUACCCCUAAAGGUUCCACCCCAGUAACAGGAGCUCUGAGAGUGUAAAAAUGACCCCACCAGAUAAGGGGAAAGGAGAAAAUCAAGCUGCUUCAGAUCUGAAAACAUCCACAGGUGCUUCUGUCCAUCCUUCCACUGUAAGAAGAUGACUCAGUGUUGUGGGUCUGAAAGGACGUGUAGCUG